GAUGAACGCUAGCGGCAGGCUUAAUACAUGCAAGUCGAGGGGCAGCAGGAAUAGCAAUAUUUGCUGGCGACCGGCGCACGGGUGCGUAACACGUAUACAAUCUGCCUUUAACAGGGGGAUAGCCCGGAGAAAUCCGGAUUAAUACCCCAUAACAAUAGAACAAGCAUUUGUUUUAUUUAAAAGCUCCGGCGGUUAGAGAUGAGUAUGCGUCUGAUUAGCUAGUUGGUGAGGUAACGGCUCACCAAGGCGACGAUCAGUAGGGGAUCUGAGAGGAUUAACCCCCACACGGAUACUGAGACACGGAUCCGACUCCUACGGGAGGCAGCAGUAAGGAAUAUUGGACAAUGCCCGCAAGGGUGAUCCAGCCAUGCCGCGUGCAGGAAGACGGCCCUAUGGGUUGUAAACUGCUUUUGUACCGGAGAAAACCUCCCCUCGUGAGGGGAGCUGAUAGUAUGGUAAGAAUAAGCAUCGGCUAACUUCGUGCCAGCAGCAGCCGCGG
rnacentral:rRNA from 1 species